AUACGUAGGUGGCGAGCGUUGUCCGGAAUGAUUGGGCGUAAAGGGCGCGUAGGCGGCCUGUUAAGUCUGGAGUGAAAGUCCUGUUUUCAAGAUGGGAAUUGCUUUGGAUACUGAUGGGCUUGAGUGCAGGAGAGGUUAUCGGAAUUCCCGGUGUAGCGGUGAAAUGCGUAGAGAUCGGGAGGAACACCAGUGGCGAAGGCGGGUAACUGGACUGCAACUGACGCUGAGGCGCGAAAGUGUGGGGAGCAAACAGGAUUAGAUACCCUGGUAGUCCACACUGUAAACGAUGAAUGCUAGGUGUAAGAGGUAUCGACCCCUUUUGUGCCGGAGUUAACACAAUAAGCAUUCCGCCUGGGGAGUACGGCCGCAAGGUUGAAACUCAAAGGAAUUGACGGGG
rnacentral:rRNA from 1 species